CCUACGGGUGGCUGCAGUGAGGAAUAUUGGUCAAUGGGCGCGAGUCUGAACCAGCCAAGUAGCGUGAAGGAUGACUGCCCUACUGGUUGUACACUUCUUUUAUAAAGGAAUAAAGUGAGGCACGUGUGCCUUUUUGUAUGUACUUUAUGACUAAGGAUCGGCUAACUCCUUGCCAGCAGCCGCGGUAAUACGGAGGAUCCGAGCGUUAUCCGGAUUUAUUGGGUUUAAAGGGAGCGUAGAUGGGUUGUUAAGUCAGUUUUGAACGUUUGCGGCUCAACCGUAAAAUUGCAAUUGAUACGGGCAGUCGUGAGUACAGUUGAGGUAGGCGGAAUUCGUGGUGUAGCGGUGAAAUGCGUAGAUAUCACGAAGAACUCCGAUUGCGAAGGCAGCUUACUAAACUGCCACUGACAUUGAUGCUCGAAAGUGUGGGUAUCAAACAGGAUUAGAUACCCGAGUAGUC
rnacentral:rRNA from 1 species